CAGCCGCCGCGGGAAUACAGAGGGUGCGAGCGUUAAUCGGAUUUACUGGGCGUAAAGCGUGCGUAGGCGGCUUUUUAAGUCGGAUGUGAAAUCCCUGAGCUUAACUUAGGAAUUGCAUUCGAUACUGGGAAGCUAGAGUAUGGGAGAGGAUGGUAGAAUUCCAGGUGUAGCGGUGAAAUGCGUAGAGAUCUGGAGGAAUACCGAUGGCGAAGGCAGCCAUCUGGCCUAAUACUGACGCUGAGGUACGAAAGCAUGGGGAGCAAACAGGAUUAGAUACCCCGGUGGUCCCUGUCUCUUAUAC
rnacentral:rRNA from 1 species